CAGCAGCCGCGGGAAUACAGAGGGUGCAAGCGUUAAUCGGAAUUACUGGGCGUAAAGCGCGCGUAGGUGGUUUGUUAAGUUGGAUGUGAAAUCCCCGGGCUCAACCUGGGAACUGCAUCCAAAACUGGCAAGCUAGAGUAUGGUAGAGGGUGGUGGAAUUUCCUGUGUAGCGGUGAAAUGCGUAGAUAUAGGAAGGAACACCAGUGGCGAAGGCGACCACCUGGACUGAUACUGACACUGAGGUGCGAAAGCGUGGGGAGCAAACAGGAUUAGAUACCCCCGUAGUCCCUGUCUCUUAUAA
rnacentral:rRNA from 1 species